CCUACGGGGGGCUGCAGUGAGGAAUAUUGCGCAAUGGAGGCAACUCUGACGCAGCCAUGCCGCGUGCAGGAAGAAGGCGCUACGCGUUGUAAACUGCUUUUAACCGGGAAGAAACCCCUCUACGUGUGGAGGGUUGACGGUACCGGAGGAAUAAGCACCGGCUAACUUCGUGCCAGCAGCCGCGGUAAUACGAAGGGUGCAAGCGUUAUCCGGAUUCAUUGGGUUUAAAGGGUGCGUAGGCGGGGUGGUAAGUCAGUGGUGAAAUCCUGCAGCUUAACUGUAGAAUUGCCAUUGAUACUGCCAUUCUUGAGUACGCUGGAUGUGGGCGGAAUGUGCCGUGUAGCGGUGAAAUGCUUAGAUAUGGCACAGAACACCGAUAGCGAAGGCAGCUCACAACGGCGAAACUGACGCUGAGGCACGAAAGCGUGGGGAUCGAACAGGAUUAGAUACCCCAGUAGUC
rnacentral:rRNA from 1 species